ACCAAUCAUCACCGGCCAUUCU
rnacentral:snRNA from 1 species